AUUGAACGCUGGCGGCAUGCCUUACACAUGCAAGUCGAACGGCAGCGGACCUUCGGGUGCCGGCGAGUGGCGAACGGGUGAGUAAUAUAUCGGAACGUGCCUUUCAGUGGGGGAUAACGUAGCGAAAGUUACGCUAAUACCGCAUAUUCUGUGAGCAGGAAAGCAGGGGGAUCGCAAGACCUUGCGCUGAUUGAGUGGCCGAUAUCAGAUUAGCUAGUUGGUGAGGUAAAGGCUCACCAAGGCGACGAUCUGUAGCGGGUCUGAGAGGAUGAUCCGCCACACUGGAACUGAGACACGGUCCAGACUCCUACGGGAGGCAGCAGUGGGGAAUUUUGCGCAAUGGGGGAAACCCUGACGCAGCAACGCCGCGUGGAGGAUGAAGUCCCUUGGGACGUAAACUCCUUUCGAUCGGGACGAUAAUGACGGUACCGGAAGAAGAAGCCCCGGCUAACUUCGUG
rnacentral:rRNA from 1 species